UAACUCUGGUUAACAAGGUUACAUACUGAAGAUACCAACAUCAGCAUCAGCAUCAGUCUCUUUUACAUCUGCAGCAACAACAGCAGGGAAUCCAGGCUGAAAAGAGCAGUAAACUGCCAAAAAGAAAAUGCCAUCUAAAUCCUGCUGGCAUGAGCAGCUCUCUAAAAUCUUCUUCAUUGUCCAUGGAAUGGUCGAGAGUACAACCAUGGCGUGUGUCUGGACGGUUACACGUGGCUCGCACUGGCUCAUGUGUCAUACGAAGAAAACUCAGGCUUGGUUCACUAAUACAGAAAGGGACAGAACACCUUGUUAGAUGAGCAGUUCACAUUUAUUCAUAAUUAACCCUUUCCAAUUAAUUAUAGGACAAUUCUUAAGUAUCCCAGACAGAUUUUUAUCCAUUUUCUUAAAUAAUUUCUUUAAACUAACUAAAACUCUACACGCUGUUGCGCACUUGUAGGCACGGACAAGAGUAAAAAAGGUUCACAAUUUUAUCUUUGCUGCUGCACAACAGGACCCAAAGCUCCUCGUGAUGCAUAGAGAGGAAGAACCCUGAUUGUUCGUUACACUGAGAUUUUAUGAGUAUGAUUCAAACACAGAAACUUAAAGAAAGAAAGUUAAAGAAAGAAUCGUCAAUUACUGGCUACAUUACAACAUUUGAUCACCUGAAACCAAAAUUAUCCCAAACCCAUUGAUUACUUAAAGAAAGAAAUUCUGCUGUUUUAUUGUCUUUGUUGUUGUACUUGAAAAAAAGGGAUUCUAUAAGUUUUUUAAAAAAUAAUUAAAUAAAUAACAAUUGCAAAUUAAAAAUUAAAAAAUUCCUAGUUAAAAAAUAGUUUAUUUUUAUAUUAUGGAAGGCAGAAAGGUAGGUCAAGGUGUAUGAUCCUGUGGAAACCAUUUCCUUUUCCAAUUUACCUGACGGCUGCCCAGACUGAGGUGCUCAAAUUUAAAUUAUUCAGAAAAAAAGCCUCACUUUUACUUUACUGGACAAAAGACACCUGGAUGCAGAAGAUUUCUUUCUACAAAAUGCUGCUGUAAUCGUCAUCAACACAACCAUUACUUCAGCACAUUUAGUCCAUUACUCUUUUCCAUCUGUAAUUAAAUCUAAUUGCAUUAUUUGGUGUCACCCACAAGAUGGGUUCCUUUUUGAGUCUGGUUCCUCUCAAGGUUUCUCCCUUAUGUCAUCUCAGGGAGUUUUUCCUUGCCACCGUCGCCACAGGCUUGCUCACUAAGGACUUCAAUCUAUAUCCAGUUUUCUGUAACAAACAUUUAUUGAAAGGAAACGAACUGUAUGAAUAAAUUUUAUCUGAA